UUUACUUCUAUAACUUCACAUGGAAGGACUACAGAGUGGUUUCUCUGGCAGCUGUGCUGGAUAUUGUGAAGGUCAUGGUGUUUGCACUGCAGGAGGGCAGGGUGGCUGUGCACGGUCACGCUGGUCUGGGCAGAACAGGGGUCCUCAUCGCUUGCUACCUGGUGUUUGCCACCAGAAUGAGUGCUGACAGAGCUAUCCUCUACAUCCGAACGAAGAGGCCCAGCUCCAUUCAGACCAGGGGGCAGCUACUGUGUGUGCACGAGUUUGACCACUUCCUCCAGCCUCUCUGGGCCAUGUUCUCCUUGUGCGACUCGACUGCCCACCCCUUCACCCUCUCCCAGUACCUCACCCGGCAGCGCUACCUCCUUCACUGCUUGGAGGCACAAAGACUCAGGAACUUGCCAAAAAUCAUCUGCUUCAUCUGUAGGAUCCUAAUGGGACUCUGCGAAAAUAAGAAAUGCAAAACAAGGUCUUCGGCGCAACACUGCAGCCUGCAGGCUUUAUCCAGGGAGAUAACCGAGACUCUGUCUAUGUUAUCUGAAAGUGAGGUGAUAACUGUGGCAGGGGGAGAUCAGGUGUUGACUCCCGCUACCAUUUCACUGGCCUCCUCUUUUAUUAAAGAACAGAAAGGGCUCAAGAAUGGAGAGCUCAAAGAUUAUCCCCUCAACAUCCCUUAAAUAGAAGGAUGAGCUACUGCGACUCAGACCUGCAACAAAUAAGCUUACACUUUACAUCUGACAGCAGAGACCUAGUUGAGUCGUUGAGUUGCCUGAAGAUCAGGCGACCCCAAGGAGUCCAGACUGUAUGUUCCUCUGGUCAGAUCGCCAAUCAGAAGACACCAGAUGAUAAGGAUUGCCAGAAACUGACAUCAAACUGCCCUGCCACUGCCACAUGGCAGCAGAGACAGUUGAAGAUGUUCAAACGGAGUCAGAUGUUUGUGGAGGGAAGUGUUCUGCAAAGUCCUGGUCCACCACUAGGCAUAAACCAUAACCUAAAGGAAUCUCCUGACGGUAACAUGAAAGCAAAAUGUCCUCAAUUUCCCAGGGUGCAUCGCUCUCAAAGGAUGGGUUUGCAUGCUGACAGUAGUUCUCCAGCACCCGUGGAGCAGGCCUUGUCUUGUGCAGUGAAAAGAGAAGGUCACUACAAUGGGAAAGGGGAGCCAUCAUGCAGUAGUGGAUCUCGUGGGAGUAUGCAGCUGACUGUGGCCCUUACGCUUGCAGACCAGCAUGGAAAAAACGGAGACACGUUGGAGAAAAUCCUGUCCUGGCAGGUACUCAAAAAUGAAUCCAAAAUGCUAAAUCAUAAAAUCCUGGGUCUCAAUUGUAAGAGCAAGAAUUGAACUCAUCUGAAGAAGCGUGGGAGAAGCUGGAGAAGGAGCUGGACCCAACUGUCCUGAGUGGGCUUAUGUGGGGAUGGCUAGAACACCUCAAGCAGCCUGUGCUGUCAGAGGCGGACUACAGACAGCCCCCUCCAGCAUCUCCACAAGGGACAAGCUGAAACUUUGCUUUGCGUGUUUGACUGUGUGGCCAAACUGAAGGAUUUACCAGCCGACCUUGAGGACAGUCUUCUUGGUAGAAUCACUUUCGCCUUCACAGGGGUGAGAAGUAAAGAUGACAAUGCACCAACAGAACAGAGUGAAUUCCUAAAGAGAACACUGAAGAAGCUUUUAAAAGAACGAAAAAAGAGUUAAUAUAAAACGCUGGCUGAGAGCAUUGCAUUGGCACUGGUCCUCCCGCAGGUUAGGGUGGCAAAACCAGCAGCAACUGUUUCUCCUCAUCACACUACAACGAACACCUGUAGGGCUGACAUUUCAUCCUCCUGAGCUCGUCGGCAUUCGCUCAAGAGGCAGUUGGCUUGGUUCAUUUGCAAAUUUGAGUUACAGUAAUUCUAAAAUAAUACAAACAGGGUUAAUCGGCAUAUAUUGUCUCAACAAAUGCAUUUUAAAAUAGCAAAAAUGUGGCAUUAAAUUGUUACAAGAACUUGUAUGUAUUUGAGUAUUAAUGCUGCUCCUUUAAGUCCACGUUUUGUUGGUCCACGCUCUGUCAAGAGGAAAGUAGGGGUCCUAUGCUGAUGUUAGUGUUAUGAACUCAUCAGCCACUAAGAGGAGAUCCACUACAACUUGAUGCACCUUUUGAGUUCUUGUUUAAAUAUGUUCAACUAUCUGCCAACUCCAGUCUUUUUUGCAAAAGUAUUUUAGUUGCUUUUACUUUGAUGUAUGAAAUGUAUUGAAAAAAUGUGGAAACAAUAAAAU